GAGAGUUUGAUCCUGGCUCAGGAUGAACGCUAGCGGCAGGCCUAAUACAUGCAAGUCGAACGGUAAGUUAAGUGCUUGCACUUAACACGAGUGGCGCACGGGUGCGUAACGCGUAUGCAACCUACCUUUUACAGGGAGAUAGCCCGGAGAAAUUCGGAUUAAUACCCCAUAGUAUCACCAGAUGGCAUCUGAAGGUGAUUAAAGAUUUAUCGGUAAAAGAUGGGCAUGCGUCUGAUUAGUUAGUAGGUAGUGUAAUAGACUACCUAGACGAUGAUCAGUAGGGGUUCUGAGAGGAUUAUCCCCCACACUGGCACUGAGAUACGGGCCAGACUCCUACGGGAGGCAGCAGUAGGGAAUAUUGGUCAAUGGGUGAGAGCCUGAACCAGCCAUGCCGCGUGCAGGAAGACGGCCUUCUGGGUUGUAAACUGCUUUUAUUGGGGAACAAAAAGGCCAUGCGUGGCAAAUUGCGUGUACCUAAAGAAUAAGCACCGGCUAACUCCGUGCCAGCAGCCGCGGUAAUACGGAGGGUGCAAGCGUUGUCCGGAUUUAUUGGGUUUAAAGGGUGCGUAGGUGGCUAAUUAAGUCAGUGGUGAAAGUCUGCAGCUCAACUGUAGAAUUGCCAUUGAUACUGGUUAGCUUGAGUAUAGACGAGGUAGGCGGAAUUCAUGGUGUAGCGGUGAAAUGCAUAGAUACCAUGAAGAACACCGAUAGCGAA
rnacentral:rRNA from 1 species